rnacentral:piRNA from 1 species
AAGGGAGAAUGAAAUCAGUUACACCAUC